UUGCCAUGAUGUUCAAAAUUUCGACUCCCACUGUAUCUAUCGUGACGUUGUUUUGUUUACAUCAUCAAGAAAAAAAAAGUGCAGUUUCGUUAGCCGAACUAUACCAUCCAAUAUUUACGAGGGAGAAGCACGAAGUUCAUCCGAAAUCACCGACGAUGUGGAUAUGGAGGAAGAGAAUCUUUUGGAUGGAAGUGCAGAGAAUCCGCUUGCCAGAUUUCGUUCCAGUAUCCGGAUAAAAACGUAUCAUUCAGUGAAUGGAAUAAACAAUUAAUGUACAAUAUAACGUAUUGGAUACAAUACAGCUGCCUGCAGGCAAUCUUGACAUUUCAAAACAACGAACCUAUAGAGAAGCACCAAACCAUCAGAUCCCAUCAAACCGAUCUAAAAGUGGUGGAUUCGGUAUUGGCUCAAGUUAUAAAGUUUAUUCGCAAAUUUUAUAAGGCUGAUGAGGAUGGAUAGAUGACAAAAAUGGCCUUAUUGGCGUUAUGGAAUUCAUGGAUAUACGAAACUUACAAUGAAUAAUAAAUUUUAUUAAAAACAAGAUUAAAAGAUAAAAAAGGGACAGUUUCAGCAACAUCCAAAGACGGGGAAAAGGGAAAAAAAUGUAGCAGGUCGUUGGAGAUAUUAUCGUCAGUGUAUUCAAAGGAUUAAAGUGAUCCACGCGUCUUACUGCAUUGCAAUCGUCUCAUCCAAGGCGAGUUCAGCCCCUCUGGCUCUGGCUACAGAGUACAAUGAACCAGCCUUGGUUUCAUCGUAAUGUUAUCCCAACUCUUCGCAUCCUUCUCCCUUCCAUCAUGAUACCGCAGACAGACGUUCAAGUUAGACUCAGCCACUUGUGUAAAAACAUGGCCGCCACAAAUCGCCAAGUGGCAAUAAGCUAACAGAUGGCGUUAAUGGCGUAUGCGUCCCGCCGCCACCCCGAUCACAUUUCGUUGACAGCAUGACACACAACCGCUCCCACAGCCGACGUGCUCAACGCUCAAAACUAUG